AUACUCUGGUUUCUCUUCAAAUCGUAUAAAUCUUUCGCCUUUUACUAAAGAUUUCCAUGGAGAGGAACAAUUCUGAGUUUGAAUUAAUUUUUGUAGGCCUUGUCUUACAAGGCU
rnacentral:snRNA from 1 species